GGAUGGUCCAAGUGCAGUGGUGUUUACAACUAACUGAUCACAACCAGUUACAGACUUCUUUGUCUUUUCCACUCUCACUGCUUCAUCUGACUAGCCUUAA
ensembl:misc_RNA Y_RNA Y RNA